rnacentral:rRNA from 1 species
UGCGGCGGAUUAGGUAGUUGGUGAGGUAACGGCUCACCAAGCCGACGACGGGUAGGGGGCGUGAGAGCGUGGCCCCCCACACGGGAACUGAGACACGGUCCCGACGCCUACGGGCGGCAGCAGUGAGGAAUCUUGCCCAAUGGGGGAAACCCUGAGGCAGCGACACCGCGUGCGGGAUGAAGGCCUUCGGGUCGUAAACCGCUUUUCUGGGGGACGAGUAAGGACGGUACUCCAGGAAUAAGUCCCGGCUAACUACGUGCCAGCAGCCGCGGUAAAACGUAGGGGGCGAGCGUUAUCCGGAAUCACUGGGCGUAAAGGGCGUCUAGGCGGCAGCCUAAGUCCCGUGUGAAAGCUCCCGGCUCAACUGGGAGAGGGCAUGGGAGACUGGGCAGCUAGAGACUCGGAGGGGGGUGUGGAAUUCCCGGUGGAGUGGUGGAAUGCGUUGAGAUCGGGAGGAACACCAGUAGCGAAGGCGGCACCCUGGCCGAGAUCUGACGCUGAAGCGCGAGAGCGUGGGGAGCGAACGGGAUUAGAUACCCCGGUAGUCCACGCCGUAAACGAUGACAACUAGGUGUUGGGUGUCCAAGGAUGCUCAGUACCGCAGCAAACGCGAUAA